UACAGAGGGUGCAAGCGUUGUUCGGAAUUAUUGGGCGUAAAGGGAGUGUAGGCGGUUUCUUAAGUCUUCUGUGAAAUCUACGGGCUUAGCCUGUAACGUGCAGAGGAAACUGGGAGACUUGAGUGUCGGAGAGGAUAGGGGAAUACCCAGUGUAGAGGUGAAAUUCGUAGAGAUUGGGUGGAACACCAGUGGCGAAGGCGCCUGUCUGGCUGACAACUGACGCUGAGACUCGAAAGCGUGGGUAGCAAACAGG
rnacentral:rRNA from 1 species